rnacentral:rRNA from 1 species
CCUGGUUGAUCCUGCCAGUAGUCAUAUGCUUGUCUCAAAGAUUAAGCCAUGCAUGUGUAAGCACACACUGUUUUAAAAGUGAAGCCGCGAAUGGCUCAUUACAACAGCCACAGUUUAUUAGAACUUACAAUCAUGGAUAACUGUGGUAAUUCUAGAGCUAAUACACGCACAAAAACUUCAACUGAAUUGGUUGAAGUGCUUUUAUUAGAACAAAAACCGAACGGCGUUUGACGAAUGUUGAACGUCGAAACUGUUUGGUGAAUCUGAAUAACUAUUUCUGAUCGCAUGGUCUAGCACCGGCGACAUCACUUUCAAGUGUCUGCCUUAUCAACCUUCGAUGGUAGUCUAUGCGACUACCAUGGUGAUAACGGGUAACGGAGAAUCAGGGUUCGACUCCGGAGAGGGAGCCUGAGAAACGGCUACCACAUCCAAGGAAGGCAGCAGGCGCGCAAAUUACCCACUCCCAGCUUGGGGAGGUAGUGACGAAAAAUAACGAGACGAUUCUCGUUUGAGAAACGUUAUCGAAAUGAGUACGCUUUACACACGCUAACGAGUAGCAAUUGGAGGGCAAGUCUGGUGCCAGCAGCCGCGGUAAUUCCAGCUCCAAUAGCGUAUAUUAAAGUUGCUGCGGUUAAAACGCUCGUAGUUGAAUUGUGGUCUUAGACAACAGUCCCCCUACAUAGGUGUGGCACGGUUGCUCGAGAUCUUCAUUCGUGGUUGCUGUUGUUGCUCUUCAUUGAGUGUCAAUGGUGCCUCGAGAUUUUACUUUGAAAAAAUUAGAGUGCUCAAAGCAGGUUGUGAUGCCUGAAUAAUGGUGCAUGGAAUAAUAGAAUACGAUCUCGGUUCUAUUUUGUUGGUUUUCGAACCGGAGAUAAUGAUUGAAAGGGCCAGAUCGGAAGAGUAUUGUGGAAAUCCUCAUUUUGAACCAUAUUUGGCAAAUCCACACUAUCCGAACCAAAUUGCUGGUGAAUGGGUUGCAAGGCCAUAUUCAUUUCCAUGGACUGUUCAUGUAUUAGCUCAUAUUUCUGGAUUCUGGUAUGAAUCUUGUGUAGGCAGUCUGAUUUCUUUUGACUAUACAAACGCCAGUGAUACUGUCCUCACUUCAUCACAUUGUGUUAGAGUAAACAAUCGUCUUGUGGAUGCAAAUGCAAUAACUGUGACAGCAGGUGCAUUUAACAUAAGGGAAUUAAACGAACCCCACAGAGUC